GCUCGUGUAGCUCAGUGGUUAGAGCUUCGUGCUUAUAGUGAUUCUGUCUGCCGCGUGGAAUUUCUAUGCCUAUGGGAGUUAGAGGUUCUCUCAUGAUAAGCGACGCGACCGUCGUGGGUUCAAUCCCCACCUCGAGCA